ACGGGAGGCAGCAGUGGGGAAUAUUGGACAAUGGGGGGAACCCUGAUCCAGCCAUGCCGCGUGUGUGAAGAAGGCCUUAUGGUUGUAAAGCACUUUAAGCGAGGAGGAGGCUACUGAGACUAAUACUCUUGGAUAGUGGACGUUACUCGCAGAAUAAGCACCGGCUAACUCUGUGCCAGCAGCCGCGGUAAUACAGAGGGUGCGAGCGUUAAUCGGAUUUACUGGGCGUAAAGCGUGCGUAGGCGGCUUUUUAAGUCGGAUGUGAAAUCCCCGAGCUUAACUUGGGAAUUGCAUUCGAUACUGGGAAGCUAGAGUAUGGGAGAGGAUGGUAGAAUUCCAGGUGUAGCGGUGAAAUGCGUAGAGAUCUGGAGGAAUACCGAUGGCGAAGGCAGCCAUCUGGCCUAAUACUGACGCUGAGGUACGAAAGCAUGGGGAGCAAACAGGAUUAGAUACCCUGGUAGUCCAUGCCGUAAACGAUGUCUACUAGCCGUUGGGGCCUUUGAGGCUUUAGUGGCGCAGCUAACGCGAUAAGUAGACCGCCUGGGGAGUACGGUCGCAAGACU
rnacentral:rRNA from 1 species